CAUAUUGUCACGUCAUGUGUUUAUUUGAGUGCAGAAUUAGAUUGCAAAAGUGUCUCAAAAUCUUUCACUGUAUAUAUAUAUUUAAAAAAUCUAAAUGAACCUGUUGAGGAUAACAGAAUAAAAAAAUUAACUAUAACAAAAAUAAAUUUUUUUUACAAGUCUCAUUGAUAUAAAGGUCAUAUUGUGACGUUUUAUGUCAGUGUCUGUGUGAAAGAGUGAAUGCUUACCUCUGGUGUGUUGACGUGCAUAUUGAGAAACUCAAGCAGGAAUCUCCCUUUUAUAGCUGGAUGAUUGACUCACUGCCCCAGUGAAUCACCCCGCUCCAGUCUAGUCUGGUUUGCCAUUGUCGUCCACCAUCGGCUUAAAUCCUGUAGAAGACCCUUUCCACAUGUUCUGGUCCGAGACACCAAGGCUCCAGGUUACUUUGACAGAACUUGAGACCAUGUACAGGAGGAACCAGAGAGGGAGACAGGAGGAAAGGUUGCCGUUCUCCCCAGUGGCCACAGCCUUAAUUGGGAUGACGGUAAGUGUUGGCCACUGUUUGUUGGAUGGAAAGCUCUAGGCUUGAGUGAACAGGUGAGUGAGUUUAAUCUCAGCUCAGAGCCUGGAGAAAUUCGACCUUACUUUUCUGAAAGAAACAGCACUUCAACGUGCUCCUAAGCAUGGAUUUGUUCUAUUUUUUUUUUUUUUUUUCAGUUAAAAAAGCAUCAGUUGUGUUUUAGGCUUUCUCUUUCAAUGUCCCACUCUGAAAGAAAUGUUAGUUUUCAAGAUGCCAGUCUUCGACGGAUAGAGAUUCUCACUGAAAAAAAAAAAUGUAUUAGCUAUAGAGGAUUCCAGAUUUUCAUUAUAGAUAGACAUUUUUCUGUUUCUUUUUACAUACAAAAGUUAAAGCAUAUCUAACAUAUAGUGACAGGAAUGCAGUUCAAAAUAAGAAGAGAUAUUGGGUACAAAUAUGAGUAUGAUUGCAUACAGAGAGAAGCAGUUAUUGCUGCCUACUGGAGCAGCUGCCUUCUAAACAAAUGUUGUUCCAUGUUGAAAACUUUGAUGUUAGCAUGUUGCUAAGAUAAUCAGCCUGUCAGACAC
ensembl:lncRNA